rnacentral:rRNA from 1 species
CCAGACUCCUACGGGAGGCAGCAGUGGGGGAUAUUGCACAAUGGGGGAAACCCUGAUGCAGCGACGCCGCGUGGGUGAAGAAGCGCCUCGGCGCGUAAAGCCCUGUCAGCAGGGAAGAAAAUGACGGUACCUGAAGAAGAAGCCCCGGCUGACUACGUGCCAGCAGCCGCGGUAAUACGUAGGGGGCAAGCGUUAUCCGGAUUUACUGGGUGUAAAGGGAGCGUAGACGGUGAGACAAGUCUGAAGUGAAAGCCCGGGGCUCAACUCCGGGACUGCUUUUGGAACUACAUGGCUUGAUUGCAGGAGAGGCAAGUGGAAUUCCUAGUGUAGCGGUGAAAUGCGUAGAUAUUAGGAGGAACACCAGUGGCGAAGGCGGCUUGCUGGACUGUAAAUGACGCUGAGGCUCGAAAGCGUGGGGAGCAAACAGGAUUAGAUACCCGGGUA